rnacentral:rRNA from 1 species
AACGAACGCUGGCGGCAGGCCUAACACAUGCAAAGUCGAACGCCCCGCAAGGGGAGUGGCAGACGGGUGAGUAACACGUGGGAACGUACCCUUCGGUUCGGGAUAACUCAGGGAAACUUGAGCUAAUACCGGAUACGUCCGAGAGGAGAAAGAUUUAUCGCCGAGGGAUCGGCCCGCGUCUGAUUAGCCUGUUGGUGAGGUAACGGCUCACCAAGGCGACGAUCAGUAGCUGGUCUGAGAGGAUGAUCAGCCACAUUGGGACUGAGACACGGCCCAAACUCCUACGGGAGGCAGCAGUGGGAAUAUUGGACAAGUGGGCGCAAGCCUGAUCCAGCCAUGCCGCGUGAGUGAUGAA